GCCCGGGUGGCGGAAUUGGCAGACGCACAGGACUUAAAAUCCUGUGAGGGUUUCCCUCGUGAGGGUUCGAGUCCCUCCCCGGGCA
rnacentral:tRNA from 1 species